UUUCUCUCAUUCUUUUCGACGACGAUUAUUUGCCGCCUUAUUUCUCAUCCUUUUUUCAUCCUUUUUUCAGACGACGAUUCUCUCCGGUCAUCCACUGCUAUUUCGUCUUCCCAAAACAUUCAUGCUAGCAACACAUGAAAAGCAACUAGACACUUCUUUUUCCCGAAGUCACGAUUUGCUUAGAUCCUGACGACAACACUAACUUGAUGCCUUCAAACGACUCUAUUCGUUGCUACUUUGAUUAUUAGCAAAUGUUUGAAACGUCACAAACGCCUUUUGGUGCUUGAAAUGAUCUAUAUCUUCAUUGAACUCUUUCAUCUUUGGAAACUAAAUAUUGCUAGCAGAUGGAGGAGUAUUCCUUUCCUUUUAUGCAAGAGUUAUUUGCUAAUCAAGAUCCCCUGUCAAGUUGAUCUAGGAUUACUAAGCAAUGUUGUCACUAUCACAAUAUCAACAUCAAUCUCGACUGUGAAGACUCUCAAUAUAAGGAUUAUGGUUUGAUUGUCACUUGUCAGCUAAUGUUGGGAGUUGACAAUAAUAACGAAGGCGUCAACAUAUAAUUUUGUGGUAACUGCUCCUAUGUCUUCUAUGAGUGGAAGAGUUGUUGAAGCAUACAAGUGUUACAUAAUAAUUCCAAUUAUUCACUCUGUCCAGAUGUGUGUGCAACCAAUUAAUUUACUUCAAACAUUCACUGGGAAUUUGGAUUCACUCCCUCCCUUUCAUCCAAGUUCAAAAGCAAAACUUUUUCCCUUGAUCCAAGUCAAACAUCGUUGAAGGGAUGAUGGGGGAAUUCCAGUCCCUUUAUAUACUACACUUGGAGGAGUUAGACAUUUUACAGAAAGUUUAACUAAAUGAAGGGAACUCCAAACAGCAUAGAAAGAAGAGAAACAAAACUUGGAUAACUUUGCUUGUAUGAGGUAACAUCACCUAAUCUUAUUUCCUUCAUGAUUAUGCAUCAUCAAUGUCAUGCAAGUUUUAUCAUAUGAAGAUAUAGUGUUAUUGUAUUCUAAGAUGGACAUCUUGGAUGUUAGUUAAGAUCAUUUUUUUUUCUUUCUAAUCUAUGCAUUUUGCAUUAAAAAAUCUUCCAUAUAAAAACAUUCUAUUUUCCCUGUUCUUAUUAUUAGCACCUUGCAUUUUAAAAAAUAUCCCAUUUUUAGCAUUGUAUUUUCACUUUUUUUUUUUUCCUGUUACAACAUUGAAACAUUAAACUUUUUUUCCCCAUCUAUGCAUUUUACUUUGGAAAAAUAUUAUAGUUUUAGCAUUCUACUUUUAGUUUUUUAUUACUAACACCUUGCAUUUUCAAAAAUAUUCCAUUUUUAGCAUUGUACUUUCAUUUUUUUUUGUUACAACAUUGAAACAUCAAUUUUUUAUCAGCUAUGCAUUUUACUUUAAAAGUUAUUCCAUUUUUAGCAUUGUAUUCUUAGUUUCUAUAGUAUCAACACCUUGCAUUUUAAAAAAUCAUCUCAUUCUUAGCAUUCUACUUUACCUUUUCUUUCUGUUACAACAUUGAAACAUCAAACUAUUUUUUCUCAUCUAUGCAUUUUACAAUAAAAAAUCUUCCAAUUGUAGCAUUCUAGUUUCAGUUUUCUGUUUUUAGCAAUUUGCAUGUUUAAAAAUCAUCACAUUUUUAACAUGGUACUUUUACUUUUCUUUCUUGUACAACAUUGAAACAUCAAUAUUUUUCUCAUCUAUGCAUUUCUUAUUUUUAGCUUUUUUUUUUGGACAUUCCAUUUUCAAAAAUAAUCCCAUUUUUACAUUAUACUUUCAACUUUUAUUUCUAUUAUGAUAUCUAAACAUCAAACUUUUUUUUAAAUAUAUGCAUUUUACUUUGAAAAAUAUUCCAUUUUUAGCAUUCUUCUUUAAGUUUUCAUAUUAGCAUCUUGCAUUUUCAAAAACAUCCCAUUUUUGGCAUUAUACUUUCACAUUUCUUUCUGUUACAACAUCGAAACAACAAACUUUUUUUUUCGCUUUGAUCUAUGGAUUUUAUUUUGAAAAAAAUUCAAGUUUUGGAGCUCUACUUUCACUUUUCAUAUUAUUAGCACCAUGCAUUUUAAAAAAUAAGCCCUUUUCAAGUCAUCCCAUUAUUCAUUUUUCAUUGAAAAACAUUCCAAUUUUAGCAUUCUACUUUCACUUUUCAUAUUAUUAUUACCUUUGCAUUUUCAUAAAUCAUCCCAUUUUAGCAUUAUACUUUCAUUUUUCUUUCUUUAACAAAAUGAAAACAUCAAACAUUUUCUUUUCUUUUCUAAUUUUUUACUUUUAGCACCUUCAAUUUUAAAAAUCAUACCAUUUUUAUCAUGAAAACAUACCAUUUUACUUUGCAUUUUUAUUUACAAUUAGUAACUUAUAUUUUUAAAAAUCAUAACAUUUUUAGCAUUCAACUUUAACCUGCUUUCUUUUACAAUUUGAAAACAUUAAAC